UACAGAGGGGGCAAGCGUUGUUCGGAAUUACUGGGCGUAAAGGGCGCGUAGGCGGCCGCCUAAGUCAGACGUGAAAUCCCUCGGCUCAACCGGGGAACUGCGUCUGAUACUGGGUGGCUUGAAUCCGGGAGAGGGAUGCGGAAUUCCAGGUGUAGCGGUGAAAUGCGUAGAUAUCUGGAGGAACACCGGUGGCGAAGGCGGCGUCCUGGACCAACACUGACACUGAGGAGCGAAAGCCAGGGGAGCAAACGGGG
rnacentral:rRNA from 1 species